UGGGGAAUAUUGGACAAUGGGCGAAAGCCUGAUCCAGCCAUGCCGCGUGUGUGAAGAAGGUCUUCGGCUUGUAACGCACUUUAAGUUGGGAGGAAGGGCAGUAAGCGAAUACCUUGCUGUUUUGACGUUACCGACAGAAUAAGCACCGGCUAACUCUGUGCCAGCAGCCGCGGUAAUACAGAGGGUGCAAGCGUUAAUCGGAAUUACUGGGCGUAAAGCGCGCGUAGGUGGUUCGUUAAGUUGAAUGUGAAAGCCCCGGGCUCAACCUGGGAACUGCAUCCAAAACUGGCGAGCUAGAGUAGGGCAGAGGGUGGUGGAAUUUCCUGUGUAGCGGUGAAAUGCGUAGAUAUAGGGAGGAACACCAGUGGCGAAGGCGACCACCUGGGCUCAUACUGACACUGAGGUGCGAAAGCGUGGGGAGCAAACAGG
rnacentral:rRNA from 1 species